rnacentral:rRNA from 1 species
GCCGGGAAUUCGAUUGUUUGAUCCUGGCUCAGGCGACGCUGGCGGCGUGCCUAAUACAUGCAAGUCGUGCGAGCUGAAUUCAAGGAUCCCUUCGGGGUGACUUGUUGGACGCGAGCGGCGGAUGGGUGAGUAACACGUGGGCAACCUGCCCUAAAGACUGGGAUACCACUUGGAAACAGGUGCUAAUACCGGAUAACAACGACUUUCACAUGAAAGACGCUUGAUAGGCGGCUUUAAGCUGUCACUUUAUGAUGGGCCCGCGGUGCAUUAGCUAGUUGGUGGGGUAACGGCCUACCAAGGCAAUGAUGCAUAGCCGAGUUGAGAGACUGAUCGGCCACAUUGGGACUGGGACACGGCCCAAACUCCUACGGGAGGCAGCAGUAGGGAAUCUUCCACAAUGGACGCAAAUCUGAUGG